rnacentral:rRNA from 1 species
GACGAACGCUGGCGGCGUGCUUAACACAUGCAAGUCGAACGGAAAGGCCCUGCUUUUGUGGGGUGCUCGAGUGGCGAACGGGUGAGUAACACGUGAGUAACCUGCCCUUGACUUUGGGAUAACUUCAGGAAACUGGGGCUAAUACCGGAUAGGAGCUCCUGCUGCAUGGUGGGGGUUGGAAAGUUUCGGCGGUUGGGGAUGGACUCGCGGCUUAUCAGCUUGUUGGUGGGGCAGUGGCUUACCAAGGCUUUGACGGGUAGCCGGCCUGAGAGGGUGACCGGCCACAUUGGGACUGAGAGACGGCCCAGACUCCUACGGGAGGCAGCAGUGGGGAAUAUGGCCCAAUGGGCGGAGGCCUGAUGCAGCAACGCCGCGUGCGGGAUGACGGCCUGCGGGUUGUAAACCGCUUUCGCCUGUGACGAAGCGUGAGUGACGGUAAUGGGUAAAGAAGCACCGGCUAACUACGUG